AACGAACGCUGGCGGCAGGCCUAACACAUGCAAGUCGAACGCUCCGCAAGGGGAGUGGCGCACGGGUGAGUAACACGUGGGAACCUACCUUCUGGUACGGAACAACCAAGGGAAACUUUGGCUAAGACCGUAUACGACCUCCGGGUGAAAGAUUGAUCGCCGGAAGAGGGGCCCGCGUCCGAUUAGGUAGUUGGUGAGGUAACGGCUCACCAAGCCUUCGAUCGGUAGCUGGUCUGAGAGGAUGACCAGCCACACUGGGACUGAGACACGGCCCAGACUCCUAC
rnacentral:rRNA from 1 species